UACGAAGGGGGCUAGCGUUGUUCGGAAUUACUGGGCGUAAAGCGCGCGCAGGCGGUCUUCCAAGUCAGUGGUGAAAGCCCCGGGCUCAACCUGGGAAUGGCAGUGGAUACUGGCAAGCUAGAGUGCGGUAGAGGGGUGUGGAAUUCCCGGUGUAGCGGUGAAAUGCGUAGAGAUCGGGAGGAACACCAGUGGCGAAGGCGGCACCCUGGACCAGCACUGACACUGAGGCACGAAAGCGUGGGGAGCAAACAGG
rnacentral:rRNA from 1 species